GACAAACGCUGGCGGCGUGCUUAACACAUGCAAGGCGAACGGAAAGGCCCUGCUUUUGUGGGGUGCUCGAGUGGCGAACGGGUGAGUAACAAGUGAGUAACCUGCCCUUGACUUUGGGAUAACUUCAGGAAAAUGGGGCUAAUACCGGAUAGGAGCUCCUGCGGCAUGGGGGGGGUUGGAAAGUUUCGGCGGUUGGGGAUGGACUCGCGGCUUAUCAGCUUGUUGGUGGGGUAGUGGCUUACCAAGGCUUUGACGGGUAGCCGGCCUGAUAGGGUGACCGGCACCAUUGGGCCUGAGAUACGGCCCAGACUCCUACGGGCGACAGCAGUGGGGAAUAUUGCACAAUGGGCAGAAGCCUAAUGCAUCAACGCCGCGUGCGGGAUGACGGCCUUCGGGUUGUAAACCGCUUUCGCCUGUGACGAAGCGUGAGUGACGGUAAUGGGUCAAGAAGCACCGGCUAACUACGUG
rnacentral:rRNA from 1 species